rnacentral:rRNA from 1 species
CCUACGGGGGACAGCAGUGAGGAAUAUUGGUCAAUGGGCGCGAGCCUGAACCAGCCAAGUAGCGUGAAGGAUGACUGCCCUACGGGUUGUACACUUCUUUUAUAAAGGAAUAAAGUGAGGCACGUGUGCCUUUUUGUAUGUACUUUAUGAAUAAGGAUCGGCUAACUCCGUGCCAGCAGCAGCGGUAAUACGGAGGAUCCGAGCGUUAUCCGGAUUUAUUGGGUUUAAAGGGAGCGUAGAUGGGUUGUUAAGUCAGUUGUGAAAGUUUGCGGCUCAACCGUAAAAUUGCAAUUGAUACUGGCAGUCUUGAGUACAGUAGAGGUAGGCGGAACUCGAGGUGUAGCGGUGAAAUGCGUAGAUAUCAGGAAGAACACCGGUUGCGAAGGCAGCUUACUAGACUGCCACUGACAUUGAGGUUCGAAAGUGUGGGUAGCAAACAGGAUUAGAUACCCGGGUAGUC